AUUGAACGCUGGCGGCAGGCUUAACACAUGCAAGUCGAACGAUGAAACUCUAGCUUGCUAGAGAUGAUUAGUGGCGGACGGGUGAGUAACAUUUAGGAAUCUGCCUAGUAGUGGGGGAUAGCUCGGGGAAACUCGAAUUAAUACCGCAUACGACCUACGGGUGAAAGGGGGCGCAAGCUCUUGCUAUUAGAUGAGCCUAAAUCAGAUUAGCUAGUUGGUGGGGUAAAGGCCCACCAAGGCGACGAUCUGUAACUGGUCUGAGAGGAUGAUCAGUCACACCGGAACUGAGACACGGUCCGGACUCCUACGGGAGGCAGCAGCGGGGAAUAUUGGACAAUGGGGGCAACCCUGAUCCAGCCAUGCCGCGUGUGUGAAGAAGGCCUUUUGGUUGUAAAGCACUUUAAGCAGGGAGGAGAGGCUAAUGGUUAAUACCCAU
rnacentral:rRNA from 1 species